GUGUGGCUGUGCCCUGUGGCCUGCCGUGUCUACGUGUCAUCACCUGCCUUCAAGAAACAUUUGCAGAUGUGCCUGAGGAGGCCUGGCCAAGGAUUUCGAUUGGAGGAUUGACCAGAAUCACAAAAAUGGGCUACAACUUAAGUCAUUAACGGGCUGAAGCAGAGGAUCCUGAAGCUGGAACAGCAGUGCAAGGAGAAGGACGGCACCAUCAGCAAACUCCAGACCGAUAUGAAGACUACCAACCUGGAAGAGAUGCGGAUCGCCAUGGAGACAUACUACGAGGAGGUGCAUCGUCUCCAGACCCUCUUGGCAAGUUCUGAAACCACCGGAAAGAAGUAUGAUGGCCGCUUGCAAGCUGUGUUUUGUGUGUUGCCUUCACGUUGUGGAAGCUCCUCUGAGAAUGUGUGGCUGUCACGUGGGUGCGGCAUAUACUGCCCUUAGCUUGGCAGUGCUGCCAACACUGCACCUGUUCUGUUCAGGGUUAGAGUUGACACGUUUCCAUUUGCAGUGUUCACAGACUCCUCAUAGUGACCACGUGUUGAUGGCCAACGCGUGUUCAAUGCCGCCCGUGUUCGUUAUAGAUUCUACAUCCUGCCUUCCAGCUUAGAGCUAGAAAGUGCUGUUUCAAAGCAGAGCCACCUUUUUAGGAAGACAUUGCACACAAGGACAAGUUUACUUUGCCACCUAAUGUUUUCCUAAAUAAGUUUAUCAGGAGA
rnacentral:lncRNA from 10 species